AACGUAGGGGGCAAGCGUUGCCCGGAUUCACUGGGCGUAAAGCGGGUGUAGGCGGUUCGGUAAGUCGGUUGUGAAAUUUCGCGGCCCAACCGCGAAACUGCGUCCGAUACUGCUGAACUUGAGGACGGUAGAGGUCGGUGGAAUUCCAGGUGUACCGGUGAAAUGGGCAGAUAUCUGGAGGAACACCAGUGGCGAAGGCGGCCGACUGGGCCGAUCCUGACGCUGAGACCCGAAAGCUAGGGUAGCGAACCGG
rnacentral:rRNA from 1 species